rnacentral:rRNA from 1 species
AGCGAACGCUGGCGGCAGGCCUAACACAUGCAAGUCGAACGAACUCUUCGGAGUUAGUGGCGGACGGGGGAGUAACCCGUGGGAACGUGCCUUUUGGUUCGGAAUAACUCAGGGAAACUUGUGCUAAUACCGAAUGUGCCCUUCGGGGGAAAGAUUUAUCGCGAUUAGAGCGGCCCGCGUCUGAUUAGCUAGUUGGGGAGGUAACGGCUCACCAAGGCGCGGAUCAGUAGCUGGGCUGUGAGGAUGACCAGCGACACUGGGACUGGGACACGGCCCAGACUCCUACGGGAGGCAGCAGUGGGGGAUCUUGCGCAAUGGGGGAAAGCCUGACGCAGCCAGGCCGGGUGAAUGAUGAAGGUCGGAGGAUUGUAAAAUUCUUUCACCGGGGACGAUAAUGACGGUACCCGGAGAAGAAGCCCCGGCUAACUUCGUG